AUUGAACGCUGGCGGCAGGCCUAACACAUGCAAGUCGGGCGGGUUUUCGGACCUAGCGGCGGACGGGUGAGUAAUGCGUAGGAAGCUGCCCGAUAGAGGGGGAUACCAGUUGGAAACGACUGUUAAUACCGCAUAAUGUCUACGGACCAAAGUGUGGGACCUUCGCGCCACAUGCUAUCGGAUGCGCCUACGUGGGAUUAGCUAGUUGGUGAGGUAAUGGCUCACCAAGGCGACGAUCUCUAGCUGGUUUGAGAGGAUGAUCAGCCACACUGGAACUGAGACACGGUCCAGACGCCUACGGGAGGCAGCAGUGGGGAAUAUUGGACAAUGGGCGCAAGCCUGAUCCAGCCAUGCUGCGUGUGUGAAGAAGGCCUUCGGGUUGUAAAGCACUUUCGGCGAGGAGGAAGGGGUAGUCGUUAAUAGCGGCUACUUUUGACGUUACUCGCAGAAGAAGCACCGGCUAACUCUGUGCCAGCCGCCGCGGUAA
rnacentral:rRNA from 1 species